UAGACAUCCAGAGCGGCCGAGGGAUCUGGCCCGGCGACGCCGCAGCAACCGGGGCGGGGGUUUUCCCGCCUGAGGUGCUAACGCCAGGAGCGAUGGAGG
rnacentral:ncRNA from 2 species